rnacentral:rRNA from 1 species
AUUGAACGCUGGCGGAAUGCUUUACACAUGCAAGUCGAACGGUAGAGGGGGCAACCCCUUGAGAGUGGCGAACGGGUGAGUAAUAUAUCGGAACGUGCCCAGUCGUGGGGAUAACGUAGCGAAAGUUACGCUAAUACCGCAUACGAUCUAAGGAUGAAAGCGGGGGAUCGCAAGACCUCGCGCGAUUGGAGCGGCCGAUAUCAGAUUAGGUAGUUGGUGAGGUAAAGGCUCACCAAGCCAACGAUCUGUAGCUGGUCUGAGAGGACGACCAGCCACACUGGAACUGAGACACGGUCCAGACUCCUACGGGAGGCAGCAGUGGGGAAUUUUGGACAAUGGACGCAAGUCUGAUCCAGCCAUUCCGCGUGCAGGAUGAAGGCCCUCGGGUUGUAAACUGCUUUUGUACGGAACGAAAAGGUUUGUCUUAAUACGAUGAGCUCAUGACGGUACCGUAAGAAUAAGCACCGGCUAACUACGUGCCAGCAGCCGCGGUAAAGU